AUUACGCAUACCAAACGACAUUACGCUUUCUCGGACGAUUCGAUUGUUAUAGUUCUGCCAUAUAAUCUAUAGUGGAAUAUCUCUGUGACAGCGUUUUCGCCAGAAGUGUCGAUAGUUAGUAUGUUUAAUUAUGCAACGGAAAUUGUGCCUUGGAUGGAGCAGUUAGCAACGGAAACGAUACGAGAGUCUUUGUGUGAUAGAGUAGACAGAGAAAGAGAAAGAAAAAGAAAGAAGGAGCGAGAGAGAGAGAGAGAGAGAGAGGAAAAAGGAAUAUAGAUAAAUAAAUAAUAAACAUAGUUUUAUUAUUUUAUAUGACUUCUAUUUAAUAUCCUGAUUACUGAUAAAGUAUCGUUUAUAUACACGUCUUGCCGAGACACUAUUUAACUUGCGAUUGUUAAUCCGUCACAAACACAAAGUGUUACGUUAUAAUAUAGUAUAGUUAUAAUAUGAUAGCGUAGCGUUAGCUAAGGUUUUAAAAAGAAGAAGAAAUAUAACAUGGAUAUUAUACGGGUGCCCUUCUUUUUUCUCUGUCUCUAAGAUCUAAAAAUCCCUCGACUGAAAGCGCUACUAUUUUGCAUGUAUAUAUAGGGUGUCCCUAAUCAACAAUCAUCGCUUCUCAUCAAAUAUGUGAGAAAGAAAGAGAUUUGAAAUAUAUGCAGAUGAAAUAGUGUUUUACCGUAUGAUGAUUAAAAUUAAUAUAUAAUUCAUAAAUUCAAUAAUACAUCUCAUCUUUAAGAGAAUAUUUGAAUGUUUCUUGCUCGAAUAGCUUUUGGUCUUUAAGCAAAACGUUAAAUAGAUCCCUCUACUCCUAUUUUAUUAUACUAUUGUUUUAUUU